UACGGAGGAUGCGAGCGUUAUCCGGAUUUAUUGGGUUUAAAGGGUGCGCAGGCGGGCUGUUAAGUCAGCGGUGAAAGGCUCGGGCUCAACCGGAGCAGUGCCGUUGAUACUGGCAGCCUUGAAUGCGGUCAAGGCCGGCGGAAUGUGGCGUGUAGCGGUGAUAUGCAUAGAUAUGCCACAGAACACCGAUAGCGGAGGCAGCUGGCCGGGCCUGCAUUGACGCUCAGGCACGAAAGCGUGGGGAUCGAAC
rnacentral:rRNA from 1 species